CCUCUUGGGAACCAAGGAACGAACUAGCCGAGAAGUCGGGUGGAGAUGCUCCCCCUUGUAGGUGACAAGGAAGAUAAGGUCUAGCAAGGCAGUACUCCCAUACCCAGGACCCGUUCAUUUCAGUGGUUGAUGGUACAUUACGGUUUGGCACACAGAUGCUGAGUGAGUUGAGGGACGCCAGUAAAUUGGUAUGGGGGCAACACUUUUGUGAAGCUGCAUAUGUUGUACUCAGGCGAACUGUGAGGGUUUGUUCAACCCCAGGACGAUUCAUGCGAUUAGGAUGGUGCUUCUGUUUUCUUGUUUUGCUGCCAUAUGUUUAGACCCUGAACUGCUGGAACUGCAUCCAUGCCUCCAGAAUGGCCGCAGGGCUAUCAUCAGCAUCGUCGAUCUAACAACCGAUUCUUCUGAGAAAGGACUUAAGGUACUCAACCUAUUGAUGCACAUGGACAUGAUGACUCUCUAGCGUUUAUGGACCAACCAACCUGUAAUCAUGGACCUUAUUGUCUUGUAGACCAUUUGGUGUUUCGAGUGUUUUGGAGCUUGCACUUUGUGCAUGUAGAUACAAACUUAUGUGUUCUGGACCAUCUGAAGUCUCUCAUAGUAACCAAUAGUCCUUAUCUUUU